rnacentral:lncRNA from 1 species
CUGUAUCUGAUUAUUGCUUUGGAUUAUACGUGACACAUAUCGUACUAAGGUUGAUUGAUUUUCAAUUUGGAGUCGAUGCCAACACAGCAAGUAGCACUCGAGGAUGAUAUGCAAGAAUGUGCUUAAGCAGAUCUGCAUAGACCUCUUUUAUAUUAUAUAAAAAUUAUAAAAGUUCAAACAACCCUUCAUGUACGAGACAAUCGUUGGCCUUUGUUUUAAUUGUUGUUGCAUAGGACGCAACUCCCUCAAGUGCGGAAGUUUAACGCAAGCUCCUUAGAGUGCUGCCAUAGUGGGAUGAAACUUGAAAGAGUUAAUUUGUUUCAUCAAAAAUUAUUUUCAAUAGUAUUAUGCACAAUUGGACUCUUAAAAUGGGUAAUACAACCUAUUCAACUGUUGAUCCUAAAUCAAAAUACCAAUUAAAAACAUAGAUGCUUAUGUCAGAUGUUUGCAAUUUAAGUCGAGUUGUGUAUGGCUUCAGGCUCCAACAACUAAAUGUGAAUGCCCAAGUUCAACCUCAAUGAGAGCUUAAAUGUUGCCAAGGUGGAAACGAGAGGAUGACUAAGGGAAGGAUGUUGACGUGACCACAUCCCAAGCACCGCCAAGUCCUACCCAUGAUUCCAUCGAACUUCCAAAAGGACCAUUGACUCGAGCUCGAUCCAAACGCUUUCAUGAAGUUGUUUCAACUCUAUUUCUUCAACUUUGGAAGGAGAAUCAGCUUAUGGAUGAUAGAGAAGCUCGAGCCCAUUUCUUGAAGACUCCUUGCACCUUAGUGCAAGCUAAUUUUAGCUCAAUUACAGCUCCCUCAACUCGUUCCUGCUCAAAUCAGCUCACUUUAGCUCUUUUCAGCUCGUUUAAGCUCAAUUAAGCAUACUUUCACCUCAUUUCUUUUAUCAUCUAAAUAAAUUAAGUAUUAGUUUUAUUUUAUUUAAUUUGCUACAGCUCAUGACUGAACAUUCCAGCUCAAUUUAGUUCAUUAAAUUAUUUGCCAUAGUUUUCAGCUAGUCGAAUUCAAUGUGCUAGCUAAGCUCCAUUUAAUUUAGUUUCAAAUUAGUUAAUUUGUUAAAUUAAUGUGUUUGGUGUUUAUAUAACCUGGUUCAGCCGAAUAUACAUUUUAAUUAAUGUGUUCCUGUUUCACUAGGUACGGACGAAUGUGGAGAUUCAUUCAAGCUGAUUCAUCACAAGGCAGGUGCAUGAACGUCUACUUUCAAUGCAUGAUGUGUGAACCAUUAGCUUCCUAAGUGCUUUUUCGGCCAAGGAAUAGCAACCUAUGUCCAUUCAUGAAUAGAGCCAAUCAAGUGAUGCAUGAACAGCAAGAUUCAACGAAUGGGAAGGUGCAUGAAUGUCUAGCUACAUGAACUCGUGCGAUGUAUCUUUGGCCUCCUAGGUGAUUAUUCGGCCAAGAGACUCUUAUUGGCUGGUACAUUUAUGUUAUAGCUGAACCUAUACAAGGCUGAUGGGCUGCCGUUCAUUCAUCUACAUUCAAGAGCUAUGUUUGCUUAAACAAGAAGGUGUCCAUUGAAGUUCCAUUCAGUCGAAUAUGGAUAUGCCCUUCAAGUUCAUCUUACUAGGUUAACUUAACUCAUUAAUAGUUGAAUUACUUAGCCAUUAAGCUUGUUUGUCCAUUCGGCUAUCAUAUAGAAGCUAUAAAUAGUUUGUUAUUUCAUGUUGUAAAGGACUUUUUUCCAAAAUUCUGAAUUUGAAUAUAUUUUUCUUAUGAGGUUUUCUUCCUCUCAAUUUCGUUCGAGUCUCGAAUUGACUUACCUAGCUCGCUAGCGGCGUCAACCCAAACUCUUGUUUCCUUCCAUCCUUUAUACCUUUGAAUCUUACUUCUUAUAAGUAACGGGUCAAGGUCCAUCUACUAUCUACCAUACUUCCCACCUUAAGUGAUAUAAGUCUCGCGGUAAUACGUUAUAUAGUAUUGAAUCGCUCUUGAAACUUAAGUUCUAUUCUUCCAUUCCAUAUUUUCUAUCAAGAAUUAUCUUUGUUUUAUUUUGUUAAACCGAACCUAUCAACUAUCUAAAUAAUCUCUCCUUUUAAACACCCUAAAAAGACUUCCGCUAUUACUUAAUAAAUUUCCUCUGUUAAAACGAUUCUGAGCAAACUUCUCGUCGACGAUUGGGCAACUUAGUGAAUUCGACUCAUCAUUAACGAGCCGAGUCAUGUCAUUUGGUAUCAGAGCUUGCAAAACAAGGAGCACCGACGUUCAUAGCUAUCCCGAAAGAUAGGUUUGUGAAAAAAAAUUAUUAAAAAAAAUUCAUGCAUAAAAAAAGAGGCACUCAAUUGUAUUUAUUCAACUAUUGUAAUUGAAAAAAAUAUUUGAAGUAAAAAAAAAAGUUCGAGUAUAAAAAAAACGAAGUAAAGUAUUGGAAUUUUUUGUUUAUUCGUUAUUUGUGAUUCCCGAUCAAGUGACUUCCCUAUUCUUCUUAUUCUACCUUUCCAACGCUACACACCUAAACCGAAUUUUAAUUUUAGCCUACCUUACACCUCUAUUAUUUCCUUUGUUAACCUUUUGAAACCGACCCCAAAGCGAAAAGUAAGUCUAAGUGAGACAAAUUACGAAAUUAUGAGAGAACGAAAAGAGUGGUAAAAGGCACGAGUGAAAUAUAUUAAAGAAAAAGCCUUAAAAGAGUGAAAACACGAGUGUGAGUGAAAUCAUUAUUUUUUUCUUUUUGAGUGAAUUGUGAGUGUUUGUAAGUGAGGUAUUAUGGUAAAGGUUAUUUAUCUUCUUUAUUCAAAGGCAUGGAAUCAACGCCUAUUUGGGAUAACAAGUUGCUCGUUGUGAAGCGAAAUUUAAGUAUUCAAAUUCUGGAGAACAAGCAGUAAAGGGAAAACAUCUUUCAUUCUCAAUGUCAAUUACAAGGAAAAGUUUGUAGUUUGAUUAUCGAUGGUGGAAGUUGUACCAACGAAGCAAGCUCCAUUAUGGUGGAUCGACUUGGUUUAACCACUACUACACAUCCCAGCCCGUAUAAGCUUCAAUGGCUUAACGAUGGUGGUGAAAUAAAGGUAAUGAAGCAAGUUCUCGUGACUUUUUCAAUUGGCAAAUAUGAAGAUGAAGUGCUUUGUCAUGUUGUUCCCAUGCACGUGGGACACCUAUUGCUUGGACGACCUUGGCAAUAUGAUCGACGAGUUAUCCAUGAUAGAUAUACCAAUAGAUAUUCAUUCGAGUAUAUGGGAAAAAAAUUCACUUUAGCCCCAUUGACACCGAAGCAAGUUUUCAAAGAUCAAACAAGAAUGAAAUCUUCUGUAUCUCAAUCGAAUAAAAAAGAAAAAAAAGAAGAAAACAAAAAAUAAAAUCCAAAUGAAAAAAAGAAAAGGAAAGUGAAAAGAAAAUGAGAAAAGAAAAACAAGAAAAUAUAAAAAAAAGUCUGAUUGCAAAAGAAAGUGAAAUUCGGAAGGCCAUUUCGUCAAGACAAACCAUUCUUGUACUCAUGUACAAGGAAAAUCUUUUUAAUAUUAACGAGUUACCGAAGGGUUGCCUUCUUCUGUGUUCUCUCUCUUGCAGGAUUUCCAAGAUGUGUUUCCGGAAGAGACUCCGAAUGGACUCCCACCUCUUCGCAGAAUCGAACAACAAGUUGAUUUCGUACUUGGAGUUGUUAUACCAAAUCGUCCUGCUUAUAGAACGAAUCCCAAUGAAAACAAAAAAUUACAAAAACAAGUUGGUGAGUUGAUAAAAAGGGCUACAUUUGGGAAAGUCUUAACCCUUGUGCUAUUCCCGUUCUCUUGGUGCCAAAAAAAGAUGGAACGUGGCGGAUGCGCGUCGAUUGUCGUGCUGUGAAUGAAAUCACCAUCAAAUACCGGCAUCCGAUUCCAUGGCUUGAUGACAUGCUAGAUGAACAAAGUGUGCCAACUUGUUUUCAAAAAUUGAUUUGAAAAGCAGCUAUCACCAAAUCCGCAUGCGAGAAGGUGACGAGUGGAAAACAGCCUUCAAAAUGAAACACGAUUUGUAUGAGUGGUUGGUCAUGCCGUUUGGCUUAACCAACUCUCGUAGCACUUUCAUGAGGUUAAUGAACUAUGUUUUAAGAUCUUUCAUUGGUAAGUUUUGUGCUUUUUAUUUCGAUGAUAUUCUUAUAUAUAGUAAGUCAUUAGAAGAACAUUUGGAGCACCUUAAAUCUGUUUUGGAGGUUCUACGUAAGGAAACACUCUAUGCUAAUCUUAAAAAAUGUACUUUUUGUUCUAAUCAAGUUAUUUUUCUUGGUUUUGUAGUUAGUUCAAAGGGUCUGGAAGUGGAUCAAGGGAAGAUUAAGGCUAUACAAGAGUGGCCGAGACCUACAAAUAUUAGCCAAGUGAGGAGCUUCCAUGGCCUGGCGAGUUUUUAUAGACGAUUUGUACCCCAUUUUAGUUCUAUCGUUGCACCCCUAACGAAUGUCAUUAAGAAAAAUUUGACUUUCCAUUGGACUGAUGAGCAAGAGAAGUCUUUUAUUGAAAUUAAAAAUUGUCUUACUAACGCACCUUUUCUUGCAUUGCCCGAUUUUACUAAAACCUUUGAACUUGAAUGCGAUGCAUCAGGUGUGAGAAUAGGUGCUGUUCUAACCCAAGACGGAAGGCCCAUUGCUUAUUUUAGUGAAAAUCUUAAUGGCGCACCACUCAACUAUCCUGUUUACGACAAAGAAAUGUACGCCUUAAUAUGAGCUCUUGAAACUUGGCAACGUUAUCUUUGGCCAAAAGAGUUUGUUAUUCAUUCUGAUCACGAAGCAUUGAAGUACAUCAAGGGCCAACACAAGUUGAACAAGUGUCAUGGCAAAUGGGUUGAGUACCUCGAGUCCUUCCCUUAUGUUAUAAAGCAUAAAAAAGGUAAAAAUAACAUUGUCGCCGAUGCUCUUUCACGAAGGUAUACAUUACUGAAUUUUCUUGAAUUAAAAUUUCUUGGUUUCCAAUUCUUGAGGGAUUUGUAUAGUAAUGAUGCUGACUUUGGAGAGAUUUAUUUUUCUUGUGAGAAUUCUGCCUUUAAGAACUUCUAUAGGUAUGAUGGCUUCUUAUUCAAAGAAAGAAGGCUUUGUGUCCCACAAAAUUCCAUUCGUGAAUUACUUGUCCAUGAAACACAUAGUGGAGGACUCAUGGGACACUUUGGUGUUUAUAAAACUUUAGCAACCCUCAACGAACAUUUUGACUGGCCUAGAAUGAAGCGAGAUGUUGAACGAGUAUGUGAAAGGUGGUUAACAUGCAAAAGGGCUAAAUCAAAGGUUCAGCCGCACGGUUUGUAUACUCCCUUACCUAUUCCCGAAGGCCCUUGGAUGGAUAUAUCCAUGGAUUUCAUCCUUGGAUUACCUAAGACAAAAAUGAGAAAAGAUUCUAUUUUUGUUGUAAAGAUUCUAUUUUUGUUGUAGUGGAUCGAUUCUCUAAAAUAGCCCAUUUUAUUGCCUGUAAAAAAACUGAUGAUGUCGUUCAUGUUUCUAAUAUUUUCUUUAGGGAUAUUGUAUGAUUGCAUAGACUUCCGCGAACUAUUGUUUCUGAUCGUGAUACAAAAUCUCUUAGCCACUUUUGGAGAUCUUUAUAGAGUAAGCUCGGAACUAAAUUAUUAUUUUCAACUACUUAUCAUCCUUAAACGGAUGGACAAACGGAGGCGGUCAACCGAGUACUAUCAACUUUAUUAUGAUCUGUUAUCUGAAAGAAUCUAAAUUCUUGGGAAGAAUGCCUGCGGCAUGUUGAGUUUGCUUACAACUGAUCUGUUCAUACGGCAACUCAACAUACACCUUUUGAAAUCGUUUACGAUUUUAACCUUUUGACUCUUUUAGAUUUAAUUUCUCUACCUAAUGACCAACUUAUACAUGUUGAUGCUAGGAAAAAGGCAGACUUUGUAAAGAGUUUAUAUCGAAGGGUACGGGUGAACAUUGAAGCCAAAUUAGAAUCUUAUGCUAAACAAGCCAACAAAGGAUGCAAAAGAGUGGUUUUUGAACCCGGAGAUUGGGUUUGGGUUCAUAUGCGUAAAGAACGAUUUCCCACCCAAAGGAAGUCUAAAAUCUUACCGAGAGGCGAUGGACCAUUUCAAGUUCUCGAACGCCUAAAUGAUAAUUCCUAUAAACUUGACUUGCCAGGAGAAUAUAAUAUAAGUGCCACCUUUAAUGUAUCUGAUUUGUCUCCCUUUGAAACAGAUUUUGACUUAAGGACAAGUUGCUUUCAAGAGGAGGGGAAUGACGUGACCACAUCCCAAGCACCGCCAAGUCCUAGCCAUGAUUCCAUUGAGCUUCCAAAAGGACCAUUGACUCGAGCUCGAUCCAAACGCUUUCAUAAAGCUGUUUCAGCUCUAUUUGUUCGACUUUGGAAGGAGAAUCAGCUUAUGGAUGAUAGAGAAGCUCGAGCCCAUUUCUUGAAGACUCCUUGCACCUUAGUGCAAGCUGAUUUUAGCUCAAUUUCAGCUCCCUCAGCUCGUUCCUGCUCAAAUCAGCUCACUUGAGCUCUUUUCAGCUCGUUUGAGCUCAAUUAAGCAUACUUUCAGCUUAUUUCUUUUAUCAUCAAAAUAAAUUACGUAUUAGUUUUAUUUUAUUUUAUUUUCUACAGCUCAUGACUGAACAUUCCAACUUAAUUUAGUUCAUUAAAUUGUUUGCCAUAGUUUUGAGCUAGUCGAAUUCAAUGUGCUAGCUAAGCUCCAUUUAAUUUAGUUACAAAUUAGUUAAUUUGUUAAAUUAAUGUGUUUGGUGUUUAUAUAACCUGGUUCAGCCGAAUAUACAUUUUAAUUAAUGUGUUUCAGUUUCAUGUAGGUACAACCGAAAGUGGAGAUUCUUUCAAGCUAGGUGCAUGUACGGUUAGAUUCAUCACAAGGCAGGUGCAUGAACGUCUACUUUCAAUGCAUGAUGUGUGAACCAUUAGCUUCCUAAGUACUUUUUCGGCCAAGGAAUAUCAGCCUAUGUCCAUUCAUGAAUAGAGCCAAUCAAGUGAUGCAUGAACAGCAAGAUUCAACGAAUGGGAAGGUGCCUGAAUGUCUAGCUAGAUGAACUCGUGCGAUGUAUCUUUGGCCUCCUAGGUGAUUAUUCGACCAAGAGACUCUUAUUGGCUGGUACAUUUAUGUUGUAGCCGAACCUAGACAAGGUUGAUAGGCUGCCAUUCAUUCAUUUACAUUAAAGAGCUAUGUUUGCUUAAAUAAGAAGGUGUCCAUUGAAGUUCCAUUCAGCCGAAUAUGGACAUGCCCUUCAAGUUCAUCUUACUAGGUUAAUUUAACUCACUAAUAGCUGAAUUACUUAGUCAUUAAGCUUGUUUGUCCAUUUGGCUAUCAUAUAGAGGCUAUAAAUAGUUUGUUAUUUCAUAUUGUAAAGGACUUUUUGCCAAAAUUCUAAAUUUGAACAUAUUGUUCUUGUGAGGUUUUCUUCCUCUCAAUUUCGUUCGAGUCUCGAAUUGACUUACCUAGGUCGCUAGCAGUGUCAACUAGAACUCUUGUUUCCUUGCAUCUUUUGUACCUUUUAAUCUUACUUCUUAUAAGUAACGGAUCAAGGUCCAUCUACUAUCUACCAUACUUCCCACCUUAAGUGAUAUAAGUCCCGGGGCAAUACUUUAUAUAGUAUUGAAUCGCUCUUGAAACUUAAGUUCUAUUAUUUCAUUCCAUCUUUUCUAUCAACAAUUAUCUUUGUUUUAUUUUGUUAAACCGAACCUAUCAGCUAUCUAAAUAAUCUCUCCUUUUAAACACCAUAAAAAGACUUACGCUAUUACUUAAUCAAUUUCCUCUGUUAAAACGAUUCUUAACAAACUCCUCGUCGACGAUCGGGCAACUUAGUGAAUUCGACUCAUCAUCAACGAGUCGGGUCAUGUCAGAUGCUAGCAAGUUGAUGUCUUGCAAAUAUUCGAGUGAUGUGCAAGUGUAUACAAUCGUUAACAAGUAAUAAAGUAGUAAGUAUGAAGUAUCGUCUCCAUAGGGACUGUAUAGGCAAAUAUUGUGAAAUAAGAUUUAGAAAAUUGGCAGACGAAAUAAUUAAGGGUGGAUUAAACUAACCAAUUUGAUUAACUAAAAAUUACCUAAGUAAAAUUAAAUGAAAAGGAAAACACAGAAAAAACAACAAUUCACAAGAACAAAUCUCAAUGACAUAAAUGUGUUAGAUUAAUUAUCUUCUUGAACUAUGAAAUAUUAAAACCUAGUAAUUAUGUUAUAGAAAAAUUCAUGGCAAAUUGGCUAUUUAUUAACCCAUGAAAUCAUACUCAUUAAGCUAUUAAAAUUUUCUAACACAAGUCUAUGCUAAAUAUACUUAGUAAUUUUCAUAAGCAGCCAUUCAUAUUAUGUGAGGUAACAAGAUAUUUCUAUGUUGAAAAAGUUUAAUCAAAUUAAUUCUAGGUUAUGUACGGUAAUAAAGUUCUUUUGAUAUUAUUACUAAAUUUGACCUAAUUUUAUCCUAAAUAUGAUUAAACAUGCACCAAUAAGAUAUUAUGUCAAUUAAUUACAAUCUAGGUCUAAUUGUCAUGAUUUUAUUCUACUUAAUGAACAACCAAGGCACAUAACAUCAUUAACAACAUUUUAAGAAAUCUAAGCCAAAGAACAUAAUCAAUCUAAUAACAAUAAACUUAAGUUAUUAUGAUUAAGUUGAAAACAAAAAAAUAUUUGACAAGCAUGUUCAUCAAUGCAAAACAAAAUAAAAGUAAAAAGAGGAAGAAUAAGAAGACAAAUCCAAUCUUUUUUUACUCGUGCUCCCUUCAUUCCUUCUUCCUACUUUGCUCUCUUGCACAAAUGUGUUUAGGAAUGCUGAAAUUUACUGCUCAACAAGCCUUUGAAUUGUUUCUCUCAACUUUCUAUUAUUUUCUCUCAAAUGGGAAGUAGAAGAAUGGAAUAUAGGAUAAGCGAAGAUAAGCG